CCAGACUCCUACGGGAGGCAGCAGUGAGGAAUAUUGGUCAAUGGCCGGAAGGCUGAACCAGCCAAGUCGCGUGAGGGACGACUGCCCUAUGGGUUGUAAACCUCUUUUAUAAGGGAAGAAUAAAUGCUACGUGUAGCAUGAUGCCUGUACCUUAUGAAUAAGCUCCGGCUAACUACGUGCCAGCAGCCGCGGUAAUACGUAGGGAGCGAGCGUUAUCCGGAAUUAUUGGGCGUAAAGGGUGCGUAGAUGGCAUAGUAAGUCUUUUGUAAAAAUGCUGGGCUCAACCCAGUAGGGCAAAAGAUACUGCAAAGCUAGAGUAUGACAGAGGCAAGUGGAACUACAUGUGUAGCGGUAAAAUGCGUAAAUAUAUGUAAGAACACCAGUGGCGAAGGCGGCUUGCUGGGUCGAUACUGACAUUGAGGCACGAAAGCGUGGGGAGCAAACAGGAUUAGAUACCCGUGUAC
rnacentral:rRNA from 1 species